rnacentral:sRNA from 1 species
GCCACUGUGUCAUCUGGGUCCAGUGUUCCUCUCCAAAGUGUGAGAAGUGGAGGCAGCUCCGUGGGGACAUUGAUCCCUCCUUCUCCCAGAUGACUGGUCUUGUGACCAGAAUCCAGACCUGAAUUAUAACCGCUGUGAUAUUCCUGAGGAGAGCUGGACAGGGUGUGAGAGCGAUGUGGCCUAUGCCUCCUACGUUCCAGGAUCCAUUGUCUGGGCCAAGCAGUACGGUUACCCAUGGUGGCCAGGCAUGAUAGAAUGUGAUCCUGACCUGGGGGAGUACGUUCUGUUUGCUUCUCAUCUUGAUUCCCUGCCGUCUAAGUACCAUGUGACAUUUUUCGGAGAAGCGGUUUCUCGU